rnacentral:rRNA from 1 species
UACGUAGGGGGCAAGCGUUGUCCGGAUUUACUGGGCGUAAAGAGCGUGUAGGCGGCCAGGCAGGUCUGUUGUGAAAACUGGAGGCUCAACUUCCAGACGUCGACAGAAACCGCUUGGCUAGAGUCCGGAAGAGGAGAGUGGAAUUCCCGGUGUAGUGGUGAUAUGCGUAGAUAUCGGGAGGAACACCAGUGGCGAAGGCGGCUUUCUGGGCCUUACCUGACGCUGAGACGCGAAAGCGUGGGGAGCGAACCGG